AACGAACGCUGGCGGCAUGCCCAACACAUGCAAGUCGAACGAAGUCUUCGGACUUAGUGGCGCACGGGUGCGUAACGCGUGGGAAUCUGCCCUUGGGUGCGGAAUAACUUCUCGAAAGGGAUGCUAAUACCGCAUAAUGUCGUAAGACCAAAGAUUUAUCGCCCAAGGAUGAGCCCGCGUAAGAUUAGCUAGUUGGUGGGGUAAAAGCCUACCAAGGCGACGAUCUUUAGCUGGUCUGAGAGGAUGAUCAGCCACACUGGGACUGAGACACGGCCCAGACUCCUACGGGAGGCAGCAGUGGGGAAUAUUGGACAAUGGGCGAAAGCCUGAUCCAGCAAUGCCGCGUGAGUGAUGAAGGCCCUAGGGUGUAAAGCUCUUUUACCAGGGAUGAUAAUGACAGUACCUGGAGAAUAAGCUCCGGCUAACUCCGUGCCAGCAGCCGCGGUAAU
rnacentral:rRNA from 1 species